UCUAUCAAACUGAAACGCACAGUUAAAUGGAACAAAAAGACACAAUACGAUUUCUUUUGAUUGCUUCAGCUAGCUCAUUCUCUCAGCUGUUUUGUUUCCGCGAUAUGCCACCAGAGUGGUUCCAUGAUACAUAUGUUUACAUCCACUCUUGUAAAUGUAUGAUUUAUAUAUAUAAAAGGCUCCCUAAAGGUAAAACAGUCCUUAAUGUAAGAUACGUACGUACAGAUGUGCGUUACAAUACCGGAAAGAGGAGGCCCAGAUUCACUCUCUCCAGUCUGCCAACUCCACUCCACUCUCCCAUCUUAGAUUGACACCCUCAUGUGUGAGCAAAGCCCAGCAGAUGGUGCAGUGGUUAAGAAAGCAACCAAAAAUGAGAAACCACCACAGUACAUCUGCUAGUCUGAAUAUGUUUGUAAGAAAUGGCCUAAUCAGGGUGCCAAACAGAAGCAUGUGAC